GCCAGCAUUGUAUAGUGGUUUGAGUGUUGGACUAGGACUCUGGAGACCAGGGUUCAAAUCCCCAUUUGGCC
rnacentral:tRNA from 1 species